rnacentral:tRNA from 1 species
GCGGACGUAACUCAAUGGUAGAGUGUCAGCCUUCCAAGCUGAAUGUUGAGGGUUCAAAUCCCUUCGUCCGCU